rnacentral:snRNA from 1 species
AUCGCUUCUCGGCCUUUUGGCUAAGAUCAAGUGUAGUAUCUGUUCUUAUCAGUUUAAUAUCUGAUACGUCCUCUAUCUGAGGACAAACAUAUUAAAUGUAUUGUUGCGAGUAGGAGUUGGAUCAGGAGCUUGCUCCACCCACUCCACGCAUCAGCGUGGUAUUGCAGUACUUCCAGGAACGGUGCAGCCCCU